rnacentral:rRNA from 1 species
GGGUUGUGAGGUUAAGCGACUAAGCGUACACGGUGGAUGCCCUGGCAGUCAGAGGCGAUGAAGGACGUGCUAAUCUGCGAUAAGCGUCGGUAAGGUGAUAUGAACCGUUAUAACCGGCGAUUUCCGAAUGGGGAAACCCAGUGUGUUUCGACACACUAUCAUUAACUGAAUCCAUAGGUUAAUGAGGCGAACCGGGGGAACUGAAACAUCUAAGUACCCCGAGGAAAAGAAAUCAACCGAGAUUCCCCCAGUAGCGGCGAGCGAACGGGGAGGAGCCCAGAGCCUGAAUCAGUGUGUGUGUUAGUGGAAGCGUCUGGAAAGGCGCGCGAUACAGGGUGACAGCCCCGUACACAAAAAUGCACAUAUUGUGAGCUCGAUGAGUAGGGCGGGACACGUGGUAUCCUGUCUGAAUAUGGGGGGACCAUCCUCCAAGGCUAAAUACUCCUGACUGACCGAUAGUGAACCAGUACCGUGAGGGAAAGGCGAAAAGAACCCCGGCGAGGGGAGUGAAAAAGAACCUGAAACCGUGUACGUACAAGCAGUGGGAGCACGCUUAGGCGUGUGACUGCGUACCUUUUGUAUAAUGGGUCAGCGACUUAUAUUCUGUAGCAAGGUUAACCGAAUAGGGGAGCCGAAGGGAAACCGAGUCUUAACUGGGCGUUAAGUUGCAGGGUAUAGACCCGAAACCCGGUGAUCUAGCCAUGGGCAGGUUGAAGGUUGGGUAACACUAACUGGAGGACCGAACCGACUAAUGUUGAAAAAUUAGCGGAUGACUUGUGGCUGGGGGUGAAAGGCCAAUCAAACCGGGAGAUAGCUGGUUCUCCCCGAAAGCUAUUUAGGUAGCGCCUCGUGAAUUCAUCUCCGGGGGUAGAGCACUGUUUCGGCAAGGGGGUCAUCCCGACUUACCAACCCGAUGCAAACUGCGAAUACCGGAGAAUGUUAUCACGGGAGACACACGGCGGGUGCUAACGUCCGUCGUGAAGAGGGAAACAACCCAGACCGCCAGCUAAGGUCCCAAAGUCAUGGUUAAGUGGGAAACGAUGUGGGAAGGCCCAGACAGCCAGGAUGUUGGCUUAGAAGCAGCCAUCAUUUAAAGAAAGCGUAAUAGCUCACUGGUCGAGUCGGCCUGCGCGGAAGAUGUAACGGGGCUAAACCAUGCACCGAAGCUGCGGCAGCGACGCUUAUGCGUUGUUGGGUAGGGGAGCGUUCUGUAAGCCUGUGAAGGUGUGCUGUGAGGCAUGCUGGAGGUAUCAGAAGUGCGAAUGCUGACAUAAGUAACGAUAAAGCGGGUGAAAAGCCCGCUCGCCGGAAGACCAAGGGUUCCUGUCCAACGUUAAUCGGGGCAGGGUGAGUCGACCCCUAAGGCGAGGCCGAAAGGCGUAGUCGAUGGGAAACAGGUUAAUAUUCCUGUACUUGGUGUUACUGCGAAGGGGGGACGGAGAAGGCUAUGUUGGCCGGGCGACGGUUGUCCCGGUUUAAGCGUGUAGGCUGGUUUUCCAGGCAAAUCCGGAAAAUCAAGGCUGAGGCGUGAUGACGAGGCACUACGGUGCUGAAGCAACAAAUGCCCUGCUUCCAGGAAAAGCCUCUAAGCAUCAGGUAACAUCAAAUCGUACCCCAAACCGACACAGGUGGUCAGGUAGAGAAUACCAAGGCGCUUGAGAGAACUCGGGUGAAGGAACUAGGCAAAAUGGUGCCGUAACUUCGGGAGAAGGCACGCUGAUAUGUAGGUGAAGUCCCUCGCGGAUGGAGCUGAAAUCAGUCGAAGAUACCAGCUGGCUGCAACUGUUUAUUAAAAACACAGCACUGUGCAAACACGAAAGUGGACGUAUACGGUGUGACGCCUGCCCGGUGCCGGAAGGUUAAUUGAUGGGGUCAGCGCAAGCGAAGCUCUUGAUCGAAGCCCCGGUAAACGGCGGCCGUAACUAUAACGGUCCUAAGGUAGCGAAAUUCCUUGUCGGGUAAGUUCCGACCUGCACGAAUGGCGUAAUGAUGGCCAGGCUGUCUCCACCCGAGACUCAGUGAAAUUGAACUCGCUGUGAAGAUGCAGUGUACCCGCGGCAAGACGGAAAGACCCCGUGAACCUUUACUAUAGCUUGACACUGAACAUUGAGCCUUGAUGUGUAGGAUAGGUGGGAGGCUUUGAAGUGUGGACGCCAGUCUGCAUGGAGCCGACCUUGAAAUACCACCCUUUAAUGUUUGAUGUUCUAACGUUGACCCGUAAUCCGGGUUGCGGACAGUGUCUGGUGGGUAGUUUGACUGGGGCGGUCUCCUCCUAAAGAGUAACGGAGGAGCACGAAGGUUGGCUAAUCCUGGUCGGACAUCAGGAGGUUAGUGCAAUGGCAUAAGCCAGCUUGACUGCGAGCGUGACGGCGCGAGCAGGUGCGAAAGCAGGUCAUAGUGAUCCGGUGGUUCUGAAUGGAAGGGCCAUCGCUCAACGGAUAAAAGGUACUCCGGGGAUAACAGGCUGAUACCGCCCAAGAGUUCAUAUCGACGGCGGUGUUUGGCACCUCGAUGUCGGCUCAUCACAUCCUGGGGCUGAAGUAGGUCCCAAGGGUAUGGCUGUUCGCCAUUUAAAGUGGUACGCGAGCUGGGUUUAGAACGUCGUGAGACAGUUCGGUCCCUAUCUGCCGUGGGCGCUGGAGAACUGAGGGGGGCUGCUCCUAGUACGAGAGGACCGGAGUGGACGCAUCACUGGUGUUCGGGUUGUCAUGCCAAUGGCACUGCCCGGUAGCUAAAUGCGGAAGAGAUAAGUGCUGAAAGCAUCUAAGCACGAAACUUGCCCCGAGAUGAGUUCUCCCUGACUCCUUGAGAGUCCUGAAGGAACGUUGAAGACGACGACGUUGAUAGGCCGGGUGUGUAAGCGCAGCGAUGCGUUGAGCUAACCGGUACUAAUGAACCGUGAGGCUUAACCUUACAACGCCGAAGGUGUUU